GACGAACGCUGGCGGCGUGCUUAACACAUGCAAGUCGAGCGGUAAGGCCCUUUCGGGGGUACACGAGCGGCGAACGGGUGAGUAACACGUGGGUGACCUGCCCUCAGCUCUGGGAUAAGCCUGGGAAACUGGGUCUAAUACCGGAUAUGACUCCAUGACGCAUGUUGGUGGGGUGGAAAGCCUUGUGCGGCUGAGGAUGGGCCCGCGGCCUAUCAGCUUGUUGGUGGGGUGANGGCCUACCAAGGCGACGACGGGUAGCCGGCCUGAGAGGGCGACCGGCCACACUGGGACUGAGACACGGCCCAGACUCCUACGGGAGGCAGCAGUGGGAAUCUUGCGCAAUGGGCGAAAGCCUGACGCAGCGACGCCGCGUGAGGGAUGACGGCCUCGG
rnacentral:rRNA from 1 species